AUGGCGGCGGCGAGUAGGAGCGCGCCGGAGUGGUGGCGAGAUGGGGGAAGCGUCGACGACGGGGGAGCGGAGGUCGAACUGAGCCUACGGCUUCGGACCGGGAGCAGCAGCACGGCGAGGAGGAGCAUGACCAUAUUCUACAAUGGCCGGGUGGUCGCCGUCGACGUCACCGAGCUCCAGGCAAGGGAAAUCAUAACCAUGGCGAGCCAACAAAUUCUGACCGAGCAGCAGGACAGCGGCGGCGGCGGCGGCGGCACUGCAGUGGCACAGUACGGAGCUCAUGAGAAUCCAAGCCAGCCGGCGCCGCAACGUUGGGCUCCAUUGCUGGCUUCACGUUCGCUUCGUCAGGGAGCAGGGGCUGCUGCGCCGGUCACCAGCCAAGCGGCCGCCGCGGGGCUGUCGAUGAAGCGGUCGUUGCAGCGGUUUCUGCAGAAGCGGAAGACAAGGGUCGCAGCCAUGGGUUCGCCGUACGCCGGCGGCCGGCGGGCGAUGCCUUCCUAG
rnacentral:rRNA from 1 species